AGAAAUUUAGGUUAAUCCAAACCAGGGACCUUCAAAGCCCCAAAUACGAGCAAAUCUCUUAAUUUCUG
rnacentral:tRNA from 1 species